AGAGUUUGAUUGUGGCUCAGAACGAACGCUGGCGGCGUGCCUAAUACAUGCAAGUCGAACGUGAACAGGGGCAACCCUUAGUAAAGUGGCGCACGGGUGAGUAACACGUAGGUCAUCUGCCUUUUAGUGGGGAAUAACACAGCGAAAGCUGUGCUAAUGCCGCAUGUGUAAGUAAUUACAAAGUGGGCGUCCGCAAGGAGCUCAUGCUAAAAGAAGAGCCUGCGGCCUAUUAGCUAGUUGGUGGGGUAAAAGCCUACCAAGGCAACGAUAGGUAUCCGGUCUGAGAGGAUGAUCGGACACACUGGAACUGAGACACGGUCCAGACUCCUACGGGAGGCAGCAGUAGGGAAUAUUGCGCAAUGGGGGAAACCCUGACGCAGCAACGCCGCGUGAGUGAGGAAGGUCUUCGGAUUGUAAAACUCUUUUCUUAGGGAAAAAUGAUCUUGUGGUUAAUACCCAUAAGAAGUGAUGGUACCUAAGGAAUAAGCACCGGCUAACUUCGUGCCAGCAGCCGCGGUAAUACGAAGGGUGCAAGCGUUGUUCGGAAUCAUUGGGCGUAAAGCGCGCGCAGGCGGAUCAGCAAGUCAGAUGUGAAAUCUCGAAGCUCAACUUCGAAACUGCGUCUGAAACUGCUAGUCUAGAAUGUCGGAGGGGGCAGGGGAAUUUCACGUGUAGGGGUAAAAUCCGUAGAGAUGUGAAGGAACACCGGAGGCGAAGGCGCCUGCCUGGACGACUAUUGACGCUGAGGCGCGAAAGCGUGGGGAGCAAACAGGAUUAGAUACCCUGGUAGUCCACGCCGUAAACGAUGAGCACUAGUUAUUGGGGGUAUUGACUCCCUCAGUGACGCAGCUAACGCAUUAAGUGCUCCGCCUGGGGAGUACGGUCGCAAGACUAAAACUCAAACAAAUUGACGGGGGCCCGCACAAGCGGUGGAUUAUGUGGUUUAAUUCGAAGCAACGCGCAGAACCUUACCAGGGCUUGACAUGGGGAGGCUGCAACCAGAGAUGGUUGUUUCCCGCAAGGGACCUCCCGCACAGGUGCUGCAUGGCGUAUCGUGACUGGGAAA
rnacentral:rRNA from 1 species